rnacentral:lncRNA from 1 species
CAGUUUGAUGGUUACUUCAAGACCACCUACCAAGCAGAUUAUGGCAGAAAUCCUUAUGCAAUUCCAAAACUGAGUAAAGGGUGCCAAGGUCACUAUACAUCUGCCUACCCUGGUCAUAAACUAGUAGACGACUUUCAGAGCCGGUUGGAUAACUUCAGAACCACAUACAGGAAUUCCUAUUGUCGUCCACAGGAAGAUUUGAAGAAUCGUCAAUCUGCCCUGAACAUCACGUCCUCUGGGUGGCAACCCUUUGACCAGGAGAAUUACCAUAAAAUAUGUAUGAACAGGUGUAUUUGGCAGAAGCAAUAAACAUUUUAUCUUGGUUUUUUU